GUUUCUUAAUUUUCUUAAUCAUCUCCUAGAAUGUCAACAUUAUUUCAUUUUGAAAGUGUGCUUAUUGUUUGCUAACCUUGAAUUUGCAUUCCCAAAGAAAUAUUGAAUGAACCAUUUUAUAUAGCAGUGAUUUUAAUCAGUGCCCUAACCAGCAAACUCAUUGCAAUUUAAGUUAUGAAUCUGAUGAUUUGGAGGAGAAUAAUAAUUAGGUUUUUCUGUAAUUCAAUUAUUUUCAUUUGUUAGAUAAUAAAUCUAGUUUUCUUUAGACCCUAAAGAUAAUGCCCAACACUAUGAGAAAAAGGAAACGAAUCUGCUUAAAUGCGUUAAUAGCAAUUAUAAUGUUUUAUUUGUAUAUUUUUACGUAAACUAAAGAACUUUUGAGAACAAUCCUUUGAGAUAAAUGGAGCAGAUUAGAUCCAUUUUAUGAAGAAAGCAAUGUUUUGUAUUCAUGUCUUGCUUAGGUUCAUACUGAUGAGUGACAGCCAGGAAAAGAAUGCACUACGACUUGAAAGUUCUAUAAUGCUCUUUCAUUAGUAAUUUCGAGUCUUUCACUCCCAAAUCUGUGAGUCCUAAGAGAACAUAGUACCCUCUCAUUUAUCUGCAUCAGUGGAGAUGUAUGUAAGAACAUAUUUCAAAUCAUCACUUAGAGGCUGUGUUUUGGUGGGUACCCCUGAGAUCCCCUCACCUCACUCCUUGAAGUUUGGCUAGAGAAGGACAGUUGAUGGAAGGUAACUAGAAAAAUAACAAGGCGGUCUGCAUCUGACUUGCUAGUAUUGGAAGCAGAAUUAUAGCUGAAUCUAUAUACUUACCCCAAAUGCCCAAGUGCUUGCCUCUCCCCUACAAAGUACAUUCUCACAAGUUCCUUUUGAUAUUUACAAUCAAGAUUCAAAGGGACUGUUGACUCAGAUCUAACUCCUUUCUUAUUAACACUGCCAACUUGUACUCAAAUGUGUAUUUGUAGCCUACCAUUAAAUCAAUUGGCAGUUUCCAAAGCUAGAAAGGGGACUCCAAGUAAUGAACUUAAUUUCUCAUACAUAAAGAAGUCCUUUCAAUUCCAUUUUCUGCCUUUAUGAUUUUCGAUUUUUAUCAGUGCUAUAUUUGCCCUCAGUUUUGCUUUUUUUUAGCUGUUAAAUCAGGAAUUCGGGCUUUCGAUGAGAAGGAAAUUAAGUUGAGUGUUGGUCGUUUUAUCUUGUAGUUCCUUAAGGACCUGACAUGAUUCAAGAAGAUAUAUUUCCUUUUGUGGGGAGUGGAGGGGUGGUUAACAUCAAUAGUACUGAACACAUUCAGAUAAAAUGAACAUGAAGGUAUUUUUGAGAGACCCUGGAGAUCCUGAAACCAUUCAUCUAUCAAAGCCUUUCUCUUAGGCCUCUAUUCU
rnacentral:lncRNA from 10 species